CUUCCGGGGGCAAAGCUUAAUCUCAGCCAGACCUUUCAAUUACACAGAGAAGAGGAAUUUGCCAAGAAAAGGAAAGAGCAACUGGGACCGCAGCACUCAGAGGGAGUUGCCAUCGGAUCAGGAAUCCUGAGUAGCUCCACUUGCUUCUUCUUCUUGCAUAAGGAAAUUCACAUUCAGAAUCAAACUCGGGACUGCGGCAAGGCAGGCAGCAGCACCAUGGAGCUAAAUCCCCGACUCAUAUAAGGAAGCAAGUUUUUGCAGAACCACUGAGCUAAAUCCCCAGCCCGA
rnacentral:lncRNA from 1 species